UCAAAUGGGAAGCGGAUCUUUCAGCCUGAAGAAGGACCAAACACCCCACCCUUUGCUCAAUGUGCAAAUGACAAGUCAGAGAUGCUCGUGGUGGGUUAGAGUAACACAAGCAGCCAGUGCUGUGGAGACCGGGUGGAAGGAGCCGCAUGGCAAGAGGGAGUCACCACAUUUUAUGCGAUGCAGACACACAGCUCUGAAGGGGAAACAAGGCGGGGGACUCUCCCCAUCAGCUCCCAAGACAAGAUUGCAAAGCUACAGCCAGGAUGAUAUGGUCCUGACUCAGGCAAACAGAUCCCUGACACAGGAUUGAGAAGCCGGCCAUGUUUUUAUAGCUGACACUGCAGCUGUAUGGGAAAAAUGACAUUAUUCAAUUAAUAAUGUUUUUUUAAUUGGUAACUGGUUAUUAAUGGGGAAAAAACACAGUGACACCCCUAGCAUCAUGUGGGUUAAAGCUCUGAUUACAGAAAGACUUAAAUAUCAAAGUCUACAAAUUUUUAUUAGAAAACUGAACAUCUUUAUGAACCUGAUACAGAACAAAAUUUCAUGACAUUCCAAACUCACAAACCAUAGGGAAAAUAAGAAAAAUUCAAUUUGCAUUAAGAUGAAACAAUUUUUGUUCAUCAAAAGAUACCUUUAAGAAAAUGAAAAGAUAACCCACAGCUGGGAAGAAAUAAAGUAUUAAUAUCUGGAACACAUAAAAAACUUUUCUAAUUUGAAGAGCAAAAGACAGACAGGGGACGGAUCAGGAUGGAUCUAAUCCAGACUGUAGAUGGUGAUGUGAUGGCUGUACCUUUGACAACCACCAUCGUGAGGUGACAAGCACGGGGAAGAAGCCCAAUGUUCUGAGGAGAACCAGAGAGCCAGAGUAUCUGUGGACAUGACUGAGCUACGGAUUCUGGAGCCAUCGAGAACCCGUAGAUUGUUUAUUCAGUAAACAAUAAUUGUCUUAAGGGCUCAAGUUA